AAUACGUUCCCGGGCCUUGUACACACCGCCCGUCAAGCCAUGGAAGCUGGGGGUACCUGAAGUCGGUGACCGCAAGGAGCUGCCUAGGGUAAAACUAGUAACUGGGCU
rnacentral:rRNA from 1 species